rnacentral:rRNA from 1 species
CAUGCAAGUCGAACGGUAACAUUUCUAGCUUGCUAGAAGAUGACGAGUGGCGGACGGGUGAGUAAUGCUUGGGAACUUGCCUUUGCGAGGGGGAUAACAGUUGGAAACGACUGCUAAUACCGCAUAAUGUCUUCGGACCAAACGGGGCUUAGGCUCCGGCGCAAAGAGAGGCCCAAGUGAGAUUAGCUAGUUGGUAAGGUAACGGCUUACCAAGGCGACGAUCUCUAGCUGUUCUGAGAGGAAGAUCAGCCACACUGGGACUGAGACACGGCCCAGACUCCUACGGGAGGCAGCAGUGGGGAAUAUUGCACAAUGGGGGAAACCCUGAUGCAGCCAUGCCGCGUGUGUGAAGAAGGCCUUCGGGUUGUAAAGCACUUUCAGUUGUGAGGAAAAGUUAGUAGCUAAUACCUGCUAGCCGUGACGUUAACAACAGAAGAAGCACCGGCUAACUCCGUGCCAGCAGCCGCGGUAAUACGGAGGGUGCGAGCGUUAAUCGGAAUUACUGGGCGUAAAGCGCACGCAGGCGGUUUGUUAAGCUAGAUGUGAAAGCCCCGGGCUCAACCUGGGAUGGUCAUUUAGAACUGGCAGACUAGAGUCUUGGAGAGGGGAGUGGAAUUCCAGGUGUAGCGGUGAAAUGCGUAGAUAUCUGG